GAGGGAUCCUUAGGCCAGUUUCAUUUGACUGUUGACAGACCGUGAAAAAAUUGAUGCAAAUUUUUAAGGUUUAAUUAUUAUUGAAAUUAAAGGAUAUAUUCAAUAUAUUUACUACAUUUCUCCCCGUACGAUAAAACUUCGAAGCUCUCAUCACAGUUGAACUUUUUUCCAUAAUCGGAAAGUUAGGCACAUAUCAAUUUAUCAGAUACAGAAAUGAAAAAAUCCUAGGAUGGCAAUUAUCAUCCCUCGGAGAGACUGUAUUUGGAAUGAAAAUCCUUCUUCAGGGGUAAAGUCCUGAAGCAGUUCGUUCAGGAGAGUUUCUAUUUGAAAUAUAUGAUCCAUUUGUCAAGUUUACAUAAUGUACUUCAGAUCAAAUUACAUGCAAACUCACAGAAUGAGAAACAUCUUUGAUCUUGGUGUAUGAACAUAAGAAUUUCUAGAUAACAAACGGUUCUUGGGGGCACAUAUAAAUUUAUCAGAUCAAGAAAUGUAUAAUAUCAUUUCUCGGACAGUGUUAUUUGGUAAAAAAGAGGUAGUUCAGAGUAAGUUUAUAAAGCAUAUCAUUCAGGAUAGUUUCUAUGUGAAGUAAAUGAUCUAUUUCGCUUUUUUUCAACUGAAUACAACAGAUUUCUGACAACUUCCAUGCAAUCGGGUAGUGUACGGAGAUGAUUUUCUUAGUCUAGAUCUAUGGAAAAAUGUUUUGAGAUAAGUUAUUCAUUUGGAAUGAUAUAAUGAUUAUUGAAACACAAUCUAUGAGUGAGUUUUUGCGUUAAAAUUCUAUAUUUAUAGACAUUUGUCAAGUUUUCUCAUUUAAGGUAAGAUUGUUACUCUUAUCGUAGAGAGAGGGACUCUGUAGGUUUUUGUUCAAAAUAAACUGAAUGAAAUGUUAUAAUA